rnacentral:rRNA from 1 species
AUGUGUAGCAUUAUCAUGGAGAAAAUUCAACUUGGACUUGAUAUCCACAGGCCCCCGACCCCCGCGUCGCCCGCUUCACGGGGGAACCCUAGCAACCAUCGCCAGGCCCCCGACCACGCCCUCUCCCGCGCCGCCGCCGCCAGAGGGCCGGCCGGCGAAGCCAAGCCGGGCCCUGGGAUAGUGGCGGCGGGGCUGCUCUUCCUCGACGCGUCGCUCCGCGCUGCCGUCCCAGUCCACCUCCGCCCAUCCCCGCGCCGUCGGCGACGAAGGGCUGGUCGGCGCGGCCGUGCUGGGCCCCUAGCCUCCUCCGACGCGCACCUCCCUCCGUUCGCGCUGCGGCAUCCGCCCCACCCGCUCCCUUCCCCUCGAGCUAUGGAUCUACGGUGUCCUUGGUUGCCCGGCGGCGGAUGCCCCUGCAGCUCGCCCGGCCGGGAGUGCGCCCGGCGUGCCAUCCCCUCGCGUGCUUCCCAGCCUGCAGGUGUGGCUUUGGCCCUGGAAUUCAUGGACAUGCGCUUCCCUCCCCUGUCCAUGGUUGUCCAGCGCGGUUCCAGAUCUGGCCCCCCGCGUGAGCUGCGUUCCUUCCAGCUCCUCCGGCUUGUCAGCAUCUUAGUGGCUUCACAACCCACUCUGUAG